CACUAGGUGGCGAUCGCGCUACAGAAGUACACCUUACUCAAGAAGAAGACUACAGUAUGAGGGGAAAAACGAAGUUUUAGACCACAAAUAGUUACUUAUUCCCUUCAAAGAUUUUGGAAAAUACAUGCCUAUGAAAGGAAGCUCGCCAUCAACAAAAGCCUGACAAGAGUGUAUUAGCCGGAGUCAAGGGAGGAGGAGGAGCUGAACGACAGAUGAAGGGGAUGAAGAAGCAGCAGACGGAGGUCGAACUUUAGAGGAGGAAAAGGUCCUCCUGCUCUGCCUUCACGUCAGCCUGCUCUGCCUUCACGUCAGCCUGCUCUGCCUUCAGGUCAGCCUGCUCUGCCUUCAGGUCAGCCUGCUCUGCCUUCAGGUCAGCCUGGUCUGCCUUCAGGUCCUCCUGGUCUGCCUUCAGGUCCUCCUGCUCUGCCUUCACGUCAGCCUGGUCUGCCUUCACGUCAGCCUGGUCUGCCUUCACGUCAGCCUGCUCUGCCUUCACGUCAGCCUGCUCUGCCUUCAGGUCAGCCUGCUCCGCCUUCAGUGCCCUCCACAAUGUCCCUCCAGAUGGGCUUGUCCCCGCUGCCCUCGCUGAAGUCCAGCAGGUUGUCGACCACGACCUGGCCGAUCAGGUCGUGCCGGGAGAAGCGGUCGAAGUCGUACACGGAGAAGUGCAGCUUUCUGGAAUGUAGCUCGUUCAGCGGCACGCCAAACUGGAACGUCUCGUUGAAAACUGGAUUCAAAGUCUUUCUGUGGACCUGAGGAAGAGACGGAGAGAGGUGUCCAUUCCUGAAAACCAUUUCAAGAAAAAAACUGGUUGGACAGAACCAAACUGACAGUUGGAGCUGUCGGUUUUUCGGAACAAAUACCUGGAAGUGAGGCCAGUCAGUGGGCAUGCCGGGCCC